rnacentral:misc_RNA from 1 species
CCUUGGCUGCGUGAGGACGUGUCCCGUUAGAUGAUAAAAGGUAAAGUCGCGUACCGCGAUAGUGAGGCGUCCGAUUUGUGCGUGUGCGUGCGUGUUUUUUUGUUCCGGGGAGGUUACCUCGGCUCUAACAAGACGAUUCGAGGAAAAAAAAAUCAAGAAAGAUCCCGAACUCUUUACCCUGUAGUGGUUCACCGAGACCCUGGAAAUCUUUUUCAUUAAUUUCUUCCCCGUUGUUUUAUUUCCGCCCUCCCCUCAAUGCCCUUUGCCCCCGCAAAGCUCCGCAAAGUCACAUAACUAACUUAACCUAGACGACGACCAGCAAUCUAUCUCGAUACAAUACGAACUGAAUUGUGCUUCGAAUAAACGAAAAAAAAGUAAAUACAAAAACCGCUGGAAUAGAUUGAGUCACUGCCACCAGCUGAGUGCAUACCGUGUGUCUGACAAGAGUCCUGUGAAAAUUCAAAGUUCGUGCGUGCGUGCUUCGAACAUAACCUGAGUUGGAUUUUAAAAGGAUCUAGAGAAAAAAUGAACUUGAAUCCAAAGUUCAUCGGUAAUAUUUUCUUUUUUAUAUAAUCAAAUUGCACGUAAGAUAAAACUGAGAAGAUUAAUCGAUAUUAUAAAAUAAGUAUACCUCAAACGACGUUGCGAUUCCUUUCUAUUCCAAACAAGGUCAAUAGGACGUUAGCAGUGAAUUUUUUGGCAAUAACGAGACCAAAGGAGGAUCCUAAAAAAGUGUCGAAAUAGAGAGGCGUCUGUGCAUCGUGCGAGAGAUAAGGUUGUGAGUAAUAUUGUGGAAUCAAGGUAAACAAAGGAAAUAGGAAACCGUCGUCGUUUAUAUCCUUAUUACCGAUUUGGUUGUGGGAUGACAGUGUUUAGUGAGGCGUGAAAAAGGAGGAAAAGGUGAAUGCAAAAGUCGUUAAACGCAAAAUAUGGGAAUUUAAUCGUGUCGAACGUGUCGAGAAGGGAAAAAAUACCGUUCCGGAAUACACGUAUACACGAAGCGCGGUUCGGAAUAAUUGUGCAAUAACAUGUACCAGGUGAUCGAUUUGUGAAAAAUUCUUUUUACAACCGUUAAGUGGAGUGUUUAGUUGGUGUUUGGCGAUAUCAAACACGGCGAGCAGAAGGUCACGCCUAUCUCUGAUUUGCAAUUCACGAUUUUAUUGUGCAAUAAUCUUUACUUGUCCCGAGGAGCUACGACGUCGAAAUCAUGAAUACGUUAAGUGGGAAUUUGACGUAAGGAGUACUUCGUAAACAAAGAAACGAAGACAAACUUUGAUCAGCUGAAUGGAGUGACGACGGAGUCACGUAAAUAAAAUUAAAACCCAAACAUAAAUUAGAUGAAUCAAUAGCGGUAGUAAAUAAACAAAUUUAAUCUGGGUUCUUAAGAGUGAUUGACCGAGAGUUUAGAUCGAGUGGUUUUCAUAGGGUUAAAAUAACCCGACAACACACCGCACUCUCAAGAGUAAAUAAAUAUAGAAAACUAUCUUUGUCGUCGUCUGCUAGAAGAGGAAUCUAGAGGGGAUCCAGCGCGUCCCGCAUUCAUUCUCAAACGAAGUAAUCUAAUCCAUUCGAUCCGACCGUGAAGGGGGGCGGGUAUUCGGUAUCAAAAGAACAAAAGGAAGAUCAAAAUACCCGAAAAAAGAUAAAAGCGGGGACCCUGAACGAGCGGAAAUAAUCGAGCAUCCCGCGCACCGGAGAGCACCGGAUAAAGUGUCGAAGAUCUCGGUGCCCUUUAAAAAAAUAAUAACAACAACAAAGACAGGAACAAUACGAAGAACGAUUCACGGAGGACUUCGCUGGGCCUGAUAGCCUCUGGCUCGGUGCCCUGCCUAGGGGGGCCUAGGUAAAAUUUAAUGGCAGUGGUGGGGCCCAGCCGGCACUCGCGGGUGUCCAUGAGCGUGUCCAUGUCGCUUAUGCAGGGGGGUGGGGCAGGUACGACUGCCGGGGGUGGAGGUGGAACAACCGGGACUCACCCAGGGCAAGCAGUUCUCGCCGCUGCCCAGGCCCCUCCGACUUAUUAUCACCCCGCAGCACCAGCGCCUCCUCCGCCUCCACCUACUCAGGAUCCCGUUCAGCCCGACAGGCCCAUCGGAUACGGGGCAUUCGGCGUUGUUUGGGCUGUCACUGAUCCCAGAGACGGACGUAGGGUGGCGCUUAAAAAAUUACCGAACGUCUUUCAAAGCCUCGUGAGCAGCAAACGUGUGUUUAGAGAACUCAAGAUGUUGUGCUUCUUCAAACAUGAAAACGUACUCUCUGCGUUAGACAUACUCCAACCACCGCAUCUAGACUUCUUCCAGGAAAUUUACGUCAUCACCGAGCUCUUACAAAGUGACCUGCACAAGAUCAUCGUCAGCCCUCAACAUCUCAGCGCAGAUCACAUAAAGGUCUUCCUAUAUCAGAUUUUACGAGGACUAAAGUAUCUCCACUCUUCAAGAAUUCUACAUCGCGAUAUUAAGCCUGGAAAUCUUUUGGUAAACAGCAAUUGCGUCCUGAAGAUCUGCGACUUUGGACUAGCCAGAGUCGAAGAACCUGAUCAAAACAAGCACAUGACCCAAGAGGUGGUAACGCAGUACUACAGAGCCCCAGAAAUUUUGAUGGGUGCUCGACAUUAUUCCGCAGCCGUUGACGUAUGGAGCGUUGGCUGUAUUUUUGGAGAACUUCUCGGGAGACGAAUUCUCUUCCAAGCCCAGAGCCCCGUCCAACAGCUCGAACUAAUCACCGAAUUGCUGGGAACUCCGACUCUCGAAGACAUGAAAUACGCCUGCGAAGGUGCUCGAUCCCACAUGUUGCGACGAGCACCCAAACCACCCUCACUAACGGCCCUCUACACCCUCAGUAGCCAGGCUACGCACGAAGCGGUUCACCUACUCUGCCAGAUGCUCGUUUUCGACCCAGACAAGAGGAUCACGGUAGUCGAUGCGCUAGCUCAUCCGUAUCUCGAUGAGGGAAGGCUACGCUAUCAUUCUUGUAUGUGCACGUGUUGCUACACCGCAAGCGCGGGGAUGCGACAGUACACCGGGGAUUUCGAGCCAGCAACGUCGCACACCUUCGAUGAUCUAUGGGAACGAAAGUUGACCAGUGUGCAGCAGGUGAAAGAGGAAAUGCACAAAUUUAUUGCGGAACAGCUGAAUACAACGCGCGUGCCACUGUGCAUAAACCCACAGUCUGCGGCGUUCAAGAGCUUCGCAAGUUAGAGCAAGCCAUCUGCCAACCCAGCACCGUGCGCCGCGUAUACGUACACAUUACCACUACCGAAUCAACUAUCUACCACUGUCAGCUACCACUAUCAACUACUACUAUCAGCUACUACCAAUCGUUACGUCUUCUCCUGAACGAAAGAAUGACAGAGAAUCAGCUAUAGUCGGCACGACCUCGCUCGCAGAGCUCAACAGUGGCCCAUCCUUCGGAACUGCCACCUUCUCCUCAUCAGUGGGAAUGAAACUUCCUCGGGGCCAACAAUUUCCGAUCCACAAGGGCAUAUGAGUUUCCUGAUAAAUACUUGGUCACAUUGACACAAGGAAGAAAAUGAAAAAUGAACAAAAAAAGGAAAAGAAAAGGAGGAAAUUUAAAAAGAACCCAUGAUGAACGGAGAGUAAGCAGUUGGGCCCCCAGAGCACUAAGAGAGACAAUAGACUGCCGAGCUAGUAGCCUCAAAUUCGAGUCUAGCUAAUAGACGAAUAUAGCUAAAUAAUAGACAAAUAAUACGGAUACAAAAUAGCAAAUAAAAAAAUAGGCCAGUUCAUAGUUUGACUCGUACAAAGACAGCUGGCGUUCAACUGAUUAUUGUUACGAAAUAGUGUUAAUUCUUAGUUCUAAUGUGUACAAUGUGCACGCAAAGGAUGAAAUGGAAAAGAUUAAAUAAAUGAUUGCUGCUGCACAUUUCAGCUGUUGAAAAAGAAUGGUUAUGAAAAAAUAAAAGGAACGCCGAGUAUUCUGAAAAUACGAAGUAUUUAGUAAAUGUAGAAAAAUUGAAACGGAUGGGGUAUGAUAGGCAUAUUAUCGUCCUGAAAGCAUGACGUUAUAUUAUUUUGAAAAAACUGAUACCACUGCUAUUUGAAAAUUUAGUUUAUUGCUUUUAAUCAUAGCCCAGAUAUUUUAGAAGAAAAAACCGACUGAACGUUGUGUAAUAUAAAGCUGAUUACUGCUCUACGUAUGUAACAUUAUCUAGUGUCAGCUUGUUGUAAUCGUUUAUUCAAUUAUGCAUUUUGAUAUAUCAUAGUUGUGUAUCAAUUCCAUAAAAUAUUAACCAAACAGCGUCAAAUCAUUGCAGAAUACUAACAAAGUAAACGAGUAUAACCAGUUAUCAAGUUGUGCAAUUUACGCUUGACACAUGUUGGUUACACUCAUUAGUAAAAUUGGGAGUUAGGUAGGAACAACCGAUUCCUAAUACAAAGACGGAAAUAAUUCCAAUGCCACUGCCCAAGAAUCUUUUAAACUAAAGAGGUAUUAGUCCGGCGAAAUCAAUGCACUGUUACAAAUAAUUGUACAUACACCACACAUUACUUAUUUUUCAAAUACCUAUGUACCAAGCAGUACCACGAACAGUUUUCCGGAUUCAUUACAAGAUAUCAAUAUUGAACAAAUUUUAUUGUCGUCAAGUGUAUCUUUCACCUGUAAGUUAUGCCUUGGCUAUGGCCUCGCUGUGGUAGACUAUCUAAGUUUCCCUGAGGAAUAACCAUAUACACAUUUUUUCGUUAGAUGAUGGUGUGAGAUUGUAAAGUGUUGGGACAAAGAUGUAAAUCUGUUUAAUAGUGAUUUUCUUGCUCUUUAUCUGAAAAUUUAUUGCGGUAUUGAAGUAACAUACAUAUACUAUAUUCUGAGUGUGAUUUAGAUUAAAGAGAAUAAUAAUAGAUAGGUUAACUUAGGAUAGAAAACCAACUUUCAUUUUGUAAAAAUGUGUUCUCUUUUUUACACAAAAAACUAGGUAAUUAUAUUUUAAAAUAAUGUGAGUAUAAUAAGUAUUUUAGCUAUAUGCGUCAGAGCAUCUUCAGGCUAAAAAAUUUUGUGCUGAAAAAAUAGCAAAUGAAAAGUACGUGUGUGAAAUGAAUUACUGGAAACAAGCAAAUAUACGCCGUGCUUUAAAUUAAAUUAAUGAUACUACUAUUACAUUUGAGUGUAAUUUCAGUAGCGUAUUCAACUAGUAUAUAUCUGUUAUAUUUAAUCACUCCACUAUGUUUACAAAUCAUUUGUAUAUAAACCAUCUUCGCAAUGUAUAUUAAACACAUCAACGUAUUACGCACGAGUUUGAAAGCCAUUUUACAGUUUAUAAAAGAUUAAGUCUAAGAUGACACUUCAAAUUUAACGUUUAUGUCGCAGAGAUCGCUCAAUGAAUACUCGAGAGGAUCAAGGUUACGAAUAUGAUAUCAUUAACUAACUUUGUAAUAAUGCAUGUUACUCAAAUUCAUCGUGGCGCGUCUCAAUUCCAUCAGACUAAUGAUUUUUCUAAUUUAGAAGUGGAUUAGAACAUAUAUAUUCGGUAUUUUCAUAUCACAGUUUUAAUUAUUUGACCUAAAACUGUAAAGUGACAAUAUGUAGAGUAACCCGAGAUUUAGUGUGCUUAGUGUAAACCAAGUGAGAUGAAUAAAACCGACUAGUAUCUCAAAGCUGAAUACUAGAACAGUUGUACAUGACAAUGGAAUGCAAUGAAAAUUAAAGGAGAAGAAGAAAAAUCGAACGUUAGUCGGUUUAAGGUACAUUCUUUAUUUUUACUGCCGAGCGGCUGCGUACCUACCUGUAUAUAAAAUACGUUAUAUACUUCUUUAAAACUUUAAAAGUAAUUGGUCAGUUUACUUACAUAAAAGAAAAGAAAAAACUAAAAAAAAAGUUGAAGAAACAUAAAAUAAAAUAUAAAACGUUUCUUAUUUAUUGCCAAAUAUUUCAGGUGUAUUUUGAACGUAUCAUACUUGGCAAUUAAUUGUAUGCUAUAUUUAUGGGUGUUCUCUGUGUAAACUGCAUCACGGCUUCGAAAAGAUCAAUUUAUAUUUCAAAUGUCGAAAAGAACAUGUAUAUAAAAUACAUCACACCCACACACACACGCGGUAGAAUUGAAUCACCCGAGUUACAUGAUCGCUAAUUAUUUGGUGGUCCCUUCAUCAUUGCGAUUGGAAGUAUUUGUAAUAAGUGUAAAUAGUUAUUAUCCAGACAAGAUGUGCAAGAUACGCGUAUGAAGGAUGCGCAUAAACGGCAUUAACCAUGUAAUGUAGAUAAAUUUCAUUGUAUAGACAGGACUGGUUCUGUAAGAUCAAAAACCAAGUAGCACUCAAUGAUUGUAAAGGGGCGGCUAAAAAUGCUUACCGAAUAGUUUUAAAAAGGCUACAAACUUGUGAAAGUAUGCAUAUUGAAUUUAAUAUCACAACAAUUUCACAUCCUACAUUCUCUACAUUCAUAAAACACGCCUAUGUGUCUCUUGAUUUAAAAAUUUUGGAAAAAUCUUAUUGUUAAUGUUGAUUGGUGUUUCAUAAGAAGAAUUAAUUUCCACGCAGUUUCAUGAGAGAUCCCGUGACAGAGUAUUUGAACUCAAUGCAAUUUUUUAUGACGAAGCACUCUUGUUGCAUUGAUCAAUCUCUGCCAAUUAAAGCUGUAAAUUGAAAUAUACUUACUUAGAGCUACUCAUGGAUCAAUCACAUUUUGAAAAAGUAUCGGGUUUCUGUUUCUGCAAUUACAGAGAGCAUGUACAUAACAACGUACACCGUAAUAUCAAAUGAAAAUGUCCAGACACAUUGUAAAUUUUAUACGUAGCUAGAUCAUCGAAUAUGGUUAGCAUAAAUUAAAUUUUAAACGGACAGGUACUUGAUCGUCCAAUACAUAUUCUAAUACUUCUCUAUGUUAUUUCAUUAGGUAAUGUUGGUCCAAUUCUGGAUCGAUAGUACUUGACUCUGUGUCACACAUGUUGAAUUGAUCCACGGUAUUUGAAAAUUUUUUAAAUAUUGAAGCUGAAAACUUUCCACACUAUUCCCCAAGUAUGAAAUGGAGGGAAAGAGAUGUUUGUAGCCACGAGAUACCGUAAGAUGUAUAAUAAACUAAUAAUAAUAUUCGAUUUCUGUAUAUAGUUUGAAACUGUUUGAAGCCUUGUGUUGACCUAAGGAGGAUGUGAAAUUAAAAGCUGCAAAAAUUUCUCAGACUUUAGUUUCUGUUCGAUCAAAAAACAGCUUUAACAUAAAAUUAUAAAGGAAUUUCACUUUCCCGGUCAAAGCGUAGUACGCAAGGCUUGAUGCAGUUGAUUAAAAUGAAAGAAUCUUGUAACCCGUAAACGCUAAGUAAAGAAUAUGGAAUAAUGUUCGCUUAUGUUAUCUUAAGAGAAAAAUAGCACGGAAAUGGGACGUAAAACGCAUGUAAAUAUUUAUGCAGCCAGUAAGCGUGAACCCUGUCCUGCCAAUAUAGCCAGCAAGAGCUGCCUGAUAUGAUAAUUCGAAAGUGUGAUUGGAAGUAUUGCACUAUACCUUCACUAUUUUAGUUGUUUUUAUGCUGUGGAAUUAACUGAUUCUUUUUUUGUUUUUUUUUUCUUUCACAUUAUUCUCGAAACGGUGAGCAUUAAUCUUCGUUUAAAAUUCCGCGUCUUUCACAGAUCUCAUUAUUAUAUCGAAGCUUAUAUCAAAGCCCAGAAAAACAUUCGUUCGGCCGUGAUAUACUGAGCGUUGCAGAGCAUUAUAAAACACGUUUGAUUGUACGUGAAAAAGUGAAAGAAAAAACAAAA